rnacentral:rRNA from 1 species
CAGUAGCCGCGGUAAUGCGUAGGUGGCGAGCGUUGUCCGGAAUUAUUGGGCGUAAAGGGCUCGCAGGCGGUUUCUUAAGUCUGAUGUGAAAGCCCCCGGCUCAACCGGGGAGGGUCAUUGGAAACUGGGAAACUUGAGUGCAGAAGAGGAGAGUGGAAUUCCACGUGUAGCGGUGAAAUGCGUAGAGAUGUGGAGGAACACCAGUGGCGAAGGCGACUCUCUGGUCUGUAACUGACGCUGAGGAGCGAAAACGUGGGGAGCGAACAGGAUUAGAUACCCGCGUAGUCCCUGUCUCUUAUAA